rnacentral:rRNA from 1 species
UACGGAGGGGGCUAGCGUUGCUCGGAAUCACUGGGCGUAAAGCGCACGUAGGCGGAUUGCUAAGUCAGGGGUGAAAUCCUGGAGCUCAACUCCAGAACUGCCUUUGAUACUGGUGAGCUUGAGUCCGGAAGAGGUGAGUGGAACUGCGAGUGUAGAGGUGAAAUUCGUAGAUAUUCGCAAGAACACCAGUGGCGAAGGCGGCUCACUGGUCCGGUACUGACGCUGAGGUGCGAAAGCGUGGGGAGCAAACAGG